rnacentral:tRNA from 1 species
UGACUUUUUAGAUAAUUUGAAAUUAUCUUUUGGCUUGCCUAGUCAU